AUAUAAAUACAUAAAUAAAUAAAAACCUAAGUUCUUAUUAACACAGCCUUCGCAGCCGUGAGAAUGAGGGGGAAGGAGAAGAACAGCCGCAGUCCAGGUCUUGGACUUAGGUUUCGUAGCUCUUGCUCUGGGCCACCAUUAUCACAGGUGCUCGACAAAAUGUCGCAAUGGCAUUGCAAAGAUGAGAUUUGUCAUCUCAGUUCUGUUAUUUCUUGUGUUCAUUUUAUUUGGAGUUCCUUUUGUACUCUAUUCAACCAGACAAGUUUUAUUAAUUGCUCUUGCACAAAUUAAGAGUUACUUGGUUGGAUGCAUCGCAAGUUCCAGGCCAAUGAACCACUGAAGGAUUUUAGCGUAGGGAAUUCUUGUACUUGUCUUUCAGGGCAGCCAUCAUUGGAUGACCAACAGUACUACCCAAAGUUAGUACUGGGAGAAACAGUCAUGUUAGUACUGGAAGAAACAUUUAUGUUAGCACUGGAAGAAGCUGCCAUGGUAGCACCAUUACACUUAGAGGAAAGCCAUUGGAAGGCACAGAGACCAGUGGGAAUGGAACAAUAAUCUGUCCACUCUAGGGCUAUCUGUUUGGAUCAGCAAUUGAGUUGCCAGAAACAACCACAGUGGUAAAGAAGGAACAUAGAACAUCGCUUGGGGAGCUGUUUCAGAGGACAAAAAUAGCAGAGGAAAAUUAUGUAGCCAAAAGCGAGAGGGGAGAAAAACGGACAGAAAAGGAGACAGAUAAAUCAGCUAUACACCUCAUGAAAAAGAUGAUGAAGAAAAGAAUGGUUCAUGGUUCUUCUCGGAGCUCCACCACAUCGACUGGGGGAAAUGUUGACUCUGCUUCAUCUGAGACAAAACUGCAUAAGGUAUGUGUACUUCUAGUUUAGACCUCUAUUACAUGAACUUGGGUGCAAUGCAUAUCAAAAUGCCAGACCCAACAAAUCUCAAAUUUAAGGUAUGCAAACUCGGCAAGAAAAGGUCAAUUUUUUUUUAUAUUAUUUUUAAUAUAUUAUGUGAGACAAAAUGGAAACAUAUAGUCUCAAAAAGGCAUUUUACUUAUUUUACUUCAGUCAUUUGAUCUAUGUAGUGGUUUCACUAUGUGGGACUAUUGCAAACUUUCUUGAAGUGUUGAGAUGCCAUUAUACCCUUAUAGUGUACUGAAUGUGCUUGUUCAUCUUUAAGAACUUGUUUAACGUAAGUGUUCUUGAGUUAUGGUUACAUGCUCUCCAGUUACGGUUACAUGCUCCCUUUUCUGCCUAUGCAACAGUUUGAUCGACAAUUGUACUUUGUAGUUCUAAUUUAAGCUCAUUUACUUGACUAUGUUAGUCUCAUUUAUAGGGGCUACUAUGGUUUUCCAUGGGUUUUAAUACUUCAUUGCAAGCUAGUAAUGGAAAUUUCAAAUUUUCAUUUCUUUCAGUGAUAGGACAAAAUAUUAUCCGUUGGCAUCCUUUGUUCUACACAUAAAGCAUAGUGAGUCCAAGGAUUCCGCUGUAAGCCCAAGAAUUUUGCUUUCUGGUCCUGCAGAUUUAUCAUGAUAUGACAGCUCAUUUAUCUCACUAUUUUGUAUAAACGGGCCAUAAUUUGUAUCUAACGGGAAAUCAACUAAGGAGUGACUGCAGUGAUGUCCCGAUCAUACAAGCAUUGCAGAGAGGUGUUAGAGUAUUUGAACUGGAUAUCUAGCCGAGUUCCACAAAAGAUAAUGUCAAUGUUCUUCAUGGAAGGAAACUCUGGCCAACCUCCCAAGCGUUUAGAAGUUUCUAGGAGCUCAAAUGGAGAAGAUGAUGAAGAAUGGUCGCUGAUAUCUGAAAUGCACUCAAGGUUAGAAAUUUCUUGGAGAGAUGCAAAAUAUGGUCAAAGAAUUCAAGAACUUAAUUUUGCAAGUUUUUUCAUUUUUUAAUAUAUGUAAGCAUAGUGUAAAAACUUUUUAUUUAAUUCCUCUGUGUAUACUUUUGAACAUGAACAUAUUUAACUUUCAUUUAUGAAAUAUAUGACGUUAUUCCAUUCAA